AAAUUGAAGAGUUUGAUCAUGGCUCAGAUUGAACGCUGGCGGCAGGCCUAACACAUGCAAGUCGAACGGUAACAGGAAACAGCUUGCUGUUUCGCUGACGAGUGGCGGACGGGUGAGUAAUGUCUGGGAAACUGCCUGAUGGAGGGGGAUAACUACUGGAAACGGUAGCUAAUACCGCAUAACGUCGCAAGACCAAAGAGGGGGACCCUCGGGCCUCUUGCCAU
rnacentral:rRNA from 1 species